rnacentral:rRNA from 1 species
UAGCUGGUUCUCCCCGAAAUGCAUUUAGGUGCAGCGUUGCGUGUUUCUUGCCGGAGGUAGAGCUACUGGAUGGCCGAUGGGCCCUACUAGGUUACUGACGUCAGCCAAACUCCGAAUGCCGGUAAGUCAAUAGCGUGGCAGUGAGACGGCGGGGGAUAAGCUCCGUGCGUCGAGAGGGAAACAGCCCAGAUCGCCGGCUAAGGCCCCUAAGCGUGUGCUAAGUGGAAAAGGAUGUGCAGUCGCAAAGACAACCAG